GGGCGCUUAGCUCAGCUGGGAGAGCAUCGCCCUUACAAGGCGAGGGUCACAGGUUCGAGCCCUGUAGCGCCCACCA
rnacentral:tRNA from 5 species